AUUACGCCUUUGUUUUUAAGGAAAUUAUUUUUACUUGGUUGCUUUUUCUUCUGCUAUUUUCAGCGACUAUAGCCAACGACAGCACAGGACAGGAGGAUCUCGCAGGGUUUCAGGUGAUGGCUUCAAAGCGGAUCUUGAAGGAUCUCCAGAAGGAUCCUCCUACCUCUUGCAACGCGGGUCCUGUUGCUGAAGAAAUGUUUCAUUGGCAAGCAACUGUUAUGGGCCCUCCGGACAGUCCAUAUGCCGGUGGAGUGUUUCUAGUCACCAUUCAUUUCCCUCCAGUCUAUCCAUUUAAACCACCGAUGGUGCUUGAUUGUAUUCCCUAACCUUAGGGAUAAGAAAAAGAGGGUGCAGUUGAUGUCCUCGGGAAUCUCACCCCAUUCGAAACAAUCUCGAAGAAAAUUACAAAUCCCCGGUCUAACUAUUUCCCAAUUAUUUUGGAAUAAUGCAGCAUGGAAUCUGUCGACUCCAGAUGCUUUAUCAGCCAGCAUACCAAACAACGCCUCCUUAAUCUCCUCGUCGAGAAGCCCUCUGGAAAGGGAUGCGAUCUAGUGCUGCGGAAAUUUGAAGAAACAACCCAUGUUGCUAUUCAUCUCACCCCUUGUACCUUGAGAAGUAAACAAUUCUCGGUAGAAGUCAGCCGCUCCCUGUCGUAAUCUCGAUUGAUCAAAACACCACUCAUCAUUUGGAUAUUUGCGCGACACAACAGUAUUCCUUCUCCAAUUUUUGGCACAGGCAUGAUAGUAUUUAGUGUUCCUAUCUCCAUCCAUAAUCCAGUCACAUUUUGCCUUUUGCCUCCACAUAUUUUCUUCUUGCUCAAGAACCAGCUCCAGCUCAAUGCGAAGCCUACUCUCAAGGUCCACCAGAUGCUGCAUAUGAUGUCUCGAGAGAGUUUUGUCAAUACCCCGAAGUCUUGCUAUAAGCCGUCUCUUACGCUUCACAAUGUCGCCAAAAACUUCCUUAUUCCUUGCAGUAAAAGCAACACGAAGACUUUCAAGGUUCUGUCUCACAUCAUGCUCUACAUUCCACUAAUCCGUGAGUAGCUCCUUAAAGCCACGGUGACCUUGCCAAACCGCUAGAAAAUGGAAUGGAGGGAGGGAAUUACGGGCAGGAGCUGAUCGGAGGCAAAUCAAGGGAGGCCUAUGAUGACCCCAUCUUAUCCAGGUGAUGAACUAUCGUGUCCGGAAAAUAUCUUAGCCACCCGUCAUUAGUUAGGCAGCGAUCAAGACGCUGGUGCAGAGAACCCCUUGACCACGUAAACGGAGAUCCAUAGGACCCCCAGAUCCAAGGCUGAUUAGCCCCGGGAUCUAAAUCUGCAAGGUGUUCCCAAAGGUCUUUCCUAAUGGAAAUAUUAGGGCUGGCAUACACCACAGUAACAAACAUUCCAGAACCUAACACUGGCUCAUUGAUCAGAAUAUGAAGAAAUUGAUUGAAAUUUUAAGUACCUCAAUUGUUCGACCUCCAUAAGAGCCAUAUCCCACCACUAAAUCCUCGUGCCUCAAUACGAAAAGAAUUUUUAAACCCCAAGUGUCGAAUAACAUCAUCCGCCUUCCUCCUGCUUACCCAAGUUUCAAGUAAAGCUACCAUCGAUGGGUGAAAAUUCCCCACAAUCUGUCUAAAUUACCUCCGGUAUGUAGAGCUAGCAACGCCCUGACUAUUCCAAAUCAUAAUCGUAACCAUAGAUAAAAUAACGAAAGUCAGGGUUGAAAGUCCCCAGCCUGUCUCGCGAUGACUCCAAAGGAUCCGUUACCCCAACAUCAGUAUCUUCCAUGCACUGUUCGAAAUCCUCAACCUGAGGAAUAAUGUUUCUGCCUCCAUUGACCAAACUAUCCACCGAAUUAGUUACUGAUUGAACCCAUUCCGAUAGAAGCGGUCGAUUAGGAGCUGUGUGUCAUCUUCUUCUUAACCCGCAAUCCUCUUGAAUUACCCUCUUUACUUCCCAUACCGGAAGUUGCCUUGAGCGAAGCCACCCUUUUGCGAAUCCCGGCUCUUUUCUCUGAAUUACCUUAGUCGAUUCUGAUUGUCGUAUGAUUUCCAUCCCUUAUAGUCACCUUGGAUAUCGACACUUGAGGAUCUUUCCCUCCAACGGAAGGUACAAUAUUUAUUUGCCCAAGCUGGCCAUCAUUCACGUGGCUCCUGUUGGUAACUUCUCUCAGCGGUUUCCUGGAGCUCUCUGGACUUUUAGUGGGUAGGUUAUCAUUGUUUGAUGUGUUACGUGAGCCAUUACCUUGCUUGGUCGGACCCUUGUUUGAGGUUGCCACCCUGGUACUUUCUGGAAAUUCGUGAAAGGCCAAGAGUUUUCCCGGCAGGCUGUUCUGUUGCGACCCCCAAAGCUGGUUGUGCCCGACUCUUCCCCUCCAUAUCCAAAGACUGGAGCACUUCGAACCUUGACUUACUUUCCACAGCUGCAGACUUUUGAGGAUUAGCUGCCUUGCUCUUAUCCGAGUUCACUCUAAGUUUACGGCCAGGAGCGAUCAUCCAAGGGCCGUAUAAAUCUCCCCGCACGUUUGCAGUAACAAUACCUUUAUCCCCUCCAUUAACUUCCAUUGAACUUGGUAUACCCGUUGUUUCCCGCUGUUGUAUGCAUUGAGACAUAGUGUGCCCAUACACUCCACAUUGGAAGCAAAUGUUCUCCAAUCCCUCGUACUCUAGCCUUUACACGAAACCAUCUAUCUCGAUACAUGGAAGUAGAGGCUUUGUUAAAUCCACAGCAACUGCAAGCCUUGCAAACUUCCCUCGUUCACCCGCUCUGGUAUUGUAAAUUUGUAAUCAAUCUUUAUGACCUUGCCGAUCUCAUCAGCUAACAAUCGGAAUAGCGUCUUUGAAUAGCAACGAUAAGGGAGCUUCGACAGGCGAACCCAAACGAUUAUUUGGGACGGAUGAUUUUCUUCCGUAGAAAACCCACGGCUCCAUGGCUGAACCGUCAAGUAGCUACGGAAAAUCACUCAGGGACCCUCCGUGAGAGCUCUAGUGUAAUCCCUUUCCACUUCAAAUCGAACCAGGUAAUAGUCGUUAUCUCAGUCAAUAAGAUGAAACCGUCCUUGCGGUUGCCACAACGUUGUGAUCUUGUUCCACAAGACUUUGUAUCCUAUCGACUUCCCCAACAGCCUAACGAUUAUAGAUUUACUCAUAUUCUGAUCAAUUGCAUCGUGCAACCGAUCCGAAAAAUGAAUUCUGGGGUACGGUCCACUUCGAUCCACAGUAACGUCUCCCUCCUGAAUAAUAAUAUCCUCCUCAGGCAACUCCGGAAAAUGAGGCUGAUUCGCCAAUGCAUCCCCAGUCACCAUGGCCGCAUAGGAUUUGCUCACAACAUUCUGGUUCAUGACUUGCGGCGGCAACCGGUCUGAAUCAGACGAUGCCCCACCCUCUGUUACAUCCCCCAUAACAGUAUCUAAACCUGCAAGUGAGGAACCCUCGUUUCCAUGCAACUUCUUUGACAACGGCUCGAUGCUUCCACUAACCACAUGCGCAGUCUUAUUCUUUUUCAAGCCCGGUUGCGAAUCAACUGCCAGCGGUGAACCCAGCCUUUCUAGAGAAUGCGGGACGACCACGGGAAUCGCCGCCCCUCCGGGCGGCAGAGAGCUGACAUUCAUCCC